UUCUACAAAUUCUUUUGAUUUGAUACAUGUUGAUAUAUGGGGUCCUUAUACUACUCUUACAUAAUGUAUGAGGUUUCGUUUUUCUGAUUAGCUGGUUGUUUUUUGGUGAUACGGUGAUUAUGUCUUUUUGAAAGACUGGAUGACACAUAAGUUCUGCUGAUUAUUGCUGACUUUUUUACGUUAUUUAGCUGUUGGAAUUUCCUACAGGGUUUGCUGUGAGAGUUGGCGGAUUUUUUAUCCAUAAGCUUUUACAUAGUUUGGUUAUUUGUUUUUAUUUUCUGGGUUGAUUUUCAUCAGGGAGUUUGUAAAUGUUUUUUUCUGUAUUGUCCCUGGGCUUAUGUGGAUGAUGUCUUUUUAGUUUGGUGGGAUAUACCUGGACAUUGUGGGUAUAUUGUCCAGUGUUGUAUUUUUCCAUCGAUUUGAUUGUGGAAUUUACUCUCAGCUUAAUAAAAGUAUAUUAUCUUUUUUCAAAAACAAAAUGGUAGUGUUGAACAAUAUAAAGCAAGGUUGCUAGGAGAAAGUUAUAAUUAAAGAGCUGAUUUUAAUUAUCAAGAAAGCUUUAGUCCGGUGGCAAAACACACAACCCUGCCAGAAGGAAAUCAAGUUAAGGGUGUCCUAAUAAUGUUCAAAUGGUGUGCAAAUUACACAGGUCUUUGCAUGGCUUUAAGCAAGUGUCAAGGUAUACGAAUAAAAAGGCUUCAAUUGUUGAAGAAGAGUGCAUAAAUGGCAAGUGCUUCUUCUAUACAUGUUUCAGUAUUUUGAGCAUAAUUCUCAUUCUAGAUGUUCAAUUGAUGUGAUUCUUGAGUUAAUGGAAAGCUAAGAGACAGAGUCACAACUUCCAUGUUUACUACUUUUCCCAAUUCAGCUUUGAUCAAGGAAAAAUCACAUCACAAGUUGAUUGAUUGCAACAGAAUGCAUGGUGGAAACAGCAAGUGUGGCGCUGUGGUGCCAAAAGGAUGAAAUGCAAUAUAUAUAUAUAUAGCAGAGCUGGUGCCAUAGUGCCUGGAAAGUGAGGUUGCAGCAUCGCACCAACAUCUCAGGAAAAGGCUCUUCCGAACUUUAUAAAAAUUCAUUUUUUUUGGGAGGCUAUAAAAAGGCACUUUUGAGGCAAUUGAAAGACACAAUUAAGCUAGGAUUUCUCUGAAGAAAAAGAGCCAUCAAGUACUCAAGAAUGCGAAGAAAAACUUGGAAGAUUGAAGAUCGGAAGACAUGACAAUCUUUAGUUUUCUUUUCCUUUUUGUUUCUUCUUUGAUUUUAUUGAAUUGUUAUUGAUGGUUAAACUUCUUUGAAUUGUGUUUUUAUUAUUCACCAUGAACUAAUUGUUUUUAUCUAGGAUUGCAAUUGAACUCAACAUGUAGUUUGGAUUUUUAAUUUUCUCUCUUUCUUAUGAUCAAUGGAAUAU